GGAUGCGAUCAUACCAGCACUGACACAACAGAUCCCGUCCGAACUCUGAAGUUAAGCAUGCUCGGGCUAGAGUAGUACUAGGAUGGGUGGCCCCCUGAGAAGUCCUCGUGUUGCUUUCC